rnacentral:rRNA from 1 species
AUGUCCGCGCCCAGCAGAGAGGCGGAUGCACCGCCAGCCACCAAGCCAUCAACUCCAGCGCCUCCCGGACAGGGAGGGCUCACACAGGCCGGCGGCGAGGUGAUUCCUCAAACUACCGGUCGGGCAGACGACUCCUGCAUCCAUGGAUCAUCACGAGAUGCUGCAGAUUGGUUAGUAUCUAAUCAAACCACACCCUCCUCUCCCAUGGCUGUUGCGGCGAGCACUAACACCUUGAGGAUCAUGAUCCUAGAUCCCACUUCCCAGUACAACACAAGCAGACCACGCAUUUCACAACAUCAUCAGUCACGUACAUCUAAUCCUAUUGAACUCGCUUCAUGGUGUACAUGUGUGCGCCUGUACAUGGAUCCUGGCUUUGAUUAA